GACGAACGCUGGCGGCGUGCUUAACACAUGCAAGUCGAACGGAAAGGCCUGCUUUCCCUUGUGGAUUGCGGGUACUCGCGUGGCGAACGGGUGAGUAACACGUGAGUGAUCUGCCCCCAACUUGGGUAUAAGCCUGGGAAACUGGGUCUAAUUCCCGAUAGGACUGCAGGGUGGUGCCUGUGGUGGAAAACGAUUUUCUAGUGGUUGGGGAUGAGCUCGCGGCCUAUCAGCUUGUUGGUGGGGUAAUGGCCUACCAAGGCGGCGACGGGUAGCCGGCCUGAGAGGGUGGACGGCCACAUUGGGACUGAGAUACGGCCCAGACGCCUACGGGAGGCAGCAGUGGGGAAUAUGACACAAUGGGCGGAAGCCUGAUGCAGCGACGCCGCGUGGGGGAUGACGGCCUUCGGGUUGUAAACUCCUUUCGACCGCGAGGAAGCCACCUGGUUGGAAGGGUGGUGACGGUAGUGGUAGAAGAAGCACCGGCUAACUACGUG
rnacentral:rRNA from 1 species